CAAUUUUUCUAUACCAUAGGAUGAAACAAUUGCUGGUUCAAACUGUAAAUUGAGAAGUUAUACGAUCAUCAGUAAACUUGGAAAAUUAUCCUACGGGCACAACAAGACUUUUCCAACACAUAAAAGCUUAAACCAAGAGCUAGACUGUUCCUCCCCCGCUUGUGUAAUUUGUGGACAUAUUUUUUACAGAAGAAAGCUAGACCAACCAACGCAUAUUUUGUUUUAGAGAAUGUAAAAUAGUUUCAAAAUUUGCUUCUUGCUAGUUGGAUAAUGUAUAGAAUAAAGAUAUUAUAUACAGA